rnacentral:rRNA from 1 species
AUUGAACGCUGGCGGCAGGCCUAACACAUGCAAGUCGAGCGAGCGGCGGACGGGUGAGUAAUGUCUGGGAAACUGCCUGAUGGAGGGGGAUAACUACUGGAAACGGUAGCUAAUACCGCAUACCAUCAGAUGUGCCCAGAUGGGAUUAGCUUGUAGGUGGGGUAAAGGCUCACCUAGGCGACGAUCCCUAGCUGGUCUGAGAGGUGGACCAGCCACACUGGAACUGAACCACGGUCCGGACUCCUAGGUGAGGCAGCAGUGGGGAAUAUUGCACAAUGGGCGCAAGCCUGAUGCAGCCAUGCCGCGUGUGUGAAGAAGGCCUUCGGGUUGUAAAGCACUUUCAGCGGGGAGGCGUUACCCGCAGAAGAAGCACCGGCUAACUCCGUGCCAGCCGCCGCGGUAAUUC